rnacentral:rRNA from 1 species
GACGAACGCUGGCGGCGUGCUUAACACAUGCAAGUCGAACGAAGUGGCGAACGGGUGAGUAACGCGUAAUCAACCUGCCCUUCAGAGGGGGACAACAGUUGGAAACGACUGCUAAUACCGCAUACUGAAGGAGGGGUUUGCGUCUGAUUAGCUAGUUGGGGGGGUAACGGCCCACCAAGGCGAUGAUCAGUAGCCGGUCUGGAAGGAUGAACGGGCACAUUUGGACUGGGACACGGCCCAGACUCCUACGGGAGGCAGCAGUGGGGAAUCAUCCGAAAAGGACGAAAGUCUGACGGAGCAACGCAGCGGGAUAGAUGACGGCCUUCGGGUUGUAAAGCUCUGUUAAUCGGGACGCGGUACCGGAAUAGAAAGCCAUGGCUAACUACGUGCCAGCAGCCGCGGUAAUUC